rnacentral:rRNA from 1 species
GGCGGCGUGCUUAACACAUGCAAGUCGAGCGGAAAGGCCCCUUCGGGGGUACUCGAGCGGCGAACGGGUGAGUAACACGUGAGCAACCUGCCCCUGACUCUGGGAUAAGCCCGGGAAACUGGGUCUAAUACCGGAUAUGACCACUGGUCGCAUGAUCGUGUGGUGGAAAGUUUUUCGGUUGGGGAUGGGCUCGCGGCCUAUCAGCUUGUUGGUGGGGUGAUGGCCUACCAAGGCGACGACGGGUAACCGGCCUGAGAGGGCGACCGGUCACACUGGGACUGAGACACGGCCCAGACUCCUACGGGAGGCAGCAGUGGGGAAUAUUGCGCAAUGGGCGGAAGCCUGACGCAGCGACGCCGCGUGAGGGAUGACGGCCUUCGGGUUGUAAACCUCUUUCAGCAGGGACGAAGCUAACGUGACGGUACCUGCAGAAGAAGCGCCGGCUAACUACGUGCCAGCAGCCGCGGUAAUACGUAGGGCGCAAGCGUUGUCCGGAAUUAUUGGGCGUAAAGAGCUCGUAGGCGGUUUGUCGCGUCUGUCGUGAAAGCCCACGGCUUAACCGUGGGUCUGCGGUGGAUACGGGCAGACUAGAGGCAGGUAGGGGAGAAUGGAAUUCCCGGUGUAGCGGUGAAAUGCGCAGAUAUCGGGAGGAACACCGGUGGCGAAGGCGGUUCUCUGGGCCUGUACUGACGCUGAGGAGCGAAAGCGUGGGGAGCGAACAGGAUUAGAUACCCUGGUAGUCCACGCCGUAAACGUUGGGCGCUAGGUGUGGGGUCCUUCCACGGAUUCCGCGCCGCAGCUAACGCAUUAAGCGCCCGCCUGGGGAGUACGGCCGC